GGAAAAACUGUUAUGCAGAGAAGAUCUGGAUGGCUUAGGAGAACAUCUCCGGAGCAAGGAGCACCACCUCAUACCCUGCCAGAGAUGCAGAAUGCUCUUAGGCAUUUACGGUGUCGGUUACAACGGGAGAAUGACGCUCGAGAGGCGGGGUCUGUGCGGAGGGAGUUUAGGACAGUUUUCUGUUGACCACACAAAGUUCAAAGAAUGACCUGGGGAGUCUAGAAGCCUCGGCUUCUCCUAUCCUCGGCCACUUAUCUUGCUUGGCUUUUAGCCAAAGCUUCUUUCAACACAUGAUAAGCAUUGGUCCCACAUGGCUCAGAGCCCACCCCAAGAGCAAGAGAACCAAUUCUCCUCAAAAGAAAGAAAGAGAGAGAGAGAGAGAGAGAAAGAAAGAAAGAAAGAAAGAAAGAAAGAAAGAAAGGAAGGAAGGAAGAAGAAAAGAAAGAGAGAAAGAAAAGAUCCCCUGGGAAAUGCACUUUCCUGCACUAUCUAUGUGGCCUGAAGAGAAAGGAAAGACUGUCUUCCUGGAUUGGAGUUCCCAAGAGUGAGCAGAUGUACUCCUGUUGAUCCCCGAGUUCUCUUUCCGGUAGCUGUUCCACAUCUGUUAAGUGUCAACAUGUCACUCCCUUGCCUCGUUCACGUUUUAAUCACUUUUUAUUAUUUUAAGAUGUUCCGAAGAGUCAGAAAUGGAGCCUACUUUGCAACUUUUGGAAGCUUUCCCGAGCCAAUAAACAUGUGGUUCGCUUUAA